rnacentral:tRNA from 3 species
CGGGGCGUAGCUCAGCCUGGUAGAGUACUUGCAUGGGGUGUAAGUGGUCGCAGGUUCAAAUCCUGCCGUCCCGACCA